rnacentral:rRNA from 1 species
AUGGCGUUCGCGGCUUUGGCCCUGUGGAGCGGUGGUUGGGGCUUGUCCGCUUCUUCGGCUCCAUGGGAAGAUGCUUCUGGCGCUUCUUUUGUUGUGGAUGCGGGAGGUGGCUACGACAAGGAUGAAGGACUGGAGGUUGUUCAUCGGCGAUUGGUCUUUGAACCUGCUUCAGCGAAGCUGGCCGAUGCGGAUCCGGUGCGGCAUGGGGCGUUGCUCCGGCCGCCUGGGCUUUUCAGCUCUGCUCAAGAUCUCGCCUCUCGCGGCGGGCUACGAUUGUGCGGCUCACAAAGCUUACAAGCGAUGGUGCUUCUCCGGAUCUAA